GACUAUUUUUUAUCUAUAAGUCUUGGCCAAAUUACGUGCCAGCAGUCGCGGUAAUACGUAAAAGACGAGUGUUAUUCAUCUUUAAUCGGUUUAAAGGGUACCUAGACGGAAAAUCAAGCUUAAUUAAACUAAGGACUAGUUUUCUAGAGUUUGACAUGAGAAGGUACGAACUAUCAGAGGAGAGAUAAAAUUUGUUGAUACUGGUGGGACGGACAACGGCGAAGGCAAUCUUCUACUAAAAACUGACGUUGAGGGACGAAGCCUUGGGGAGCGAGAAGGAUUAGAUACCCUAGUAGUCCUUGGAGAAAAUUAUGAGUGCCAUAGACUAAAGUGAAAAAGAAGUUCUUUUAAAAGAACUUUGUAUCUGAGCCUUAAUUGGAUACAAAGGUCUCGAGUAGCAGUUUAUAAAUGAAAGUGUAAGCAUUCCACCUCAUGACUAAAGCGGCAACGCCCAAAUUGAAAUCAUUAGACCGUUUCUGAAACCAGUAGUGAAGUAUGUUAUUUAAUUCGAUAACCCGCGAAUAACCUUACCACGUUUUGAAUUUAUUAAACAAGUGUUGCACGGCUGUCUUCAGUUAAUGUCGUGAGAUUUUGGUUUGUUCCAUUAAUUAACGAAAACCCUUGUUUCAUUUUUAUAUGAAAUAGUUCACCGUUAUAUUG
rnacentral:rRNA from 1 species